rnacentral:rRNA from 1 species
AUACGUAGGGGGCGAGCGUUGUCCGGAAUGAUUGGGCGUAAAGGGCGCGUAGGCGGCCCGGUAAGUCUGGAGUGAAAGUCCUGUUUUUAAGAUGGGAAUUGCUUUGGAUACUGUCGGGCUUGAGUGCAGGAGAGGUAAGUGGAAUUCCCAGUGUAGCGGUGAAAUGCGUAGAGAUUGGGAGGAACACCAGUGGCGAAGGCGACUUACUGGACUGUAACUGACGCUGAGGCGCGAAAGUGUGGGGAGCAAACAGGAUUAGAUACCCUGGUAGUCCACACCGUAAACGAUGAAUGCUAGGUGUAGGGGGUAUCGACCCCUUCUGUGCCGCAGUCAACACAAUAAGCAUUCCGCCUGGGGAGUACGGCCGCAAGGUUAAAACUCAAAGGAAUUGACGGGG